rnacentral:tRNA from 1 species
GAGGGCUUAGCUUAAUUAAAGUAGUUGAUUUGCAUUCAGCUGAUGUAGGAUGAGUCCUGCAGUCCUUA